ACCCGCUGAACUUAAGCAUAUCAAUAAGCGGAGGAAAAGAAACCAACAGGGAUUGCCUUAGUAACGGCGAGUGAAGCGGCAAAAGCUCAAAUUUGAAAUCUGGCACCUUCGGUGUCCGAGUUGUAAUUUGAAGAAGGUAACUUUGGAGUUGGCUCUUGUCUAUGUUCCUUGGAACAGGACGUCACAGAGGGUGAGAAUCCCGUGCGAUGAGAUGCCCAAUUCUAUGUAAAGUGCUUUCGAAGAGUCGAGUUGUUUGGGAAUGCAGCUCUAAGUGGGUGGUAAAUUCCAUCUAAAGCUAAAUAUUGGCGAGAGACCGAUAGCGAACAAGUACAGUGAUGGNAAAGAUGAAAAGAACUUUGAAAGAGAGUGAAAAAGUACGUGAAAUUGUUGAAAGGGAANGGGCUUGAGAUCAGACUUGGUAUUUUGCGAUCCUUUCCUUCUUGGUUGGGUUCCUCGCAGCUUACUGGGCCAGCAUCGGUUUGGAUGGUAGGAUAAUGACUAAGGAAUGUGGCUCUACUUCGGUGGAGUGUUAUAGCCUUGGUUGAUACUGCCUGUCUAGACCGAGGACUGCGUCUUUNGACUAGGAUGUUGGCAUAANGAUCUUAACCACCCGUCUGAAACACGGACCA
rnacentral:rRNA from 1 species